rnacentral:rRNA from 1 species
AUGAAGAGCUUGCUCUUCAAAUCGAGUGGCGGACGGGUGAGUAACGCGUGAGGAACCUGCCUUUCAGUGGGGGACAACAGUUGGAAACGACUGCUAAUACCGCAUAAUGUAUUCUGACCGCAUGAUCGGAAUACCAAAGAUUUAUUGCUGAAAGAUGGACCCGCGUUGGAUUAGCUAGUUGGUGAGGUAACGGCUCACCAAGUCGACGAUCGGUAGCCGGACUGAGAGGUUGAACGGCCACAUUGGGACUGAGACACGGCCCAGACUCC